ACAGCAAAAUCACCAGUGUUAAAUUUUCAGGGAUGGUGUUAAAUACACAGUGUUGAUGCUGUUUUAACACUAUCUGGUAAUAAAAUAACACUGCCAUUGCUAGGCCAGUGUUAUAUCCACGACAGUGUCAGUGUAAAACAAGGGUGUUACCAGAUUUCACACUGAGCGGUGUAAAUCAAGCCACGCCUCCACUAAACAUAUCCUGUCAGGGAUUUUACCGCCAUUUUCUUUCAAAGGAGGACUGAAGAGAGCAGAUGCUAGUUUGGUGAAAGUACACACUGAGUGCUUCAAAUCAUUCAGAAGAGAUGCUGUUUUUAGGGCAGUUUAUUAAAGAAGACCUGACAUGGAUGACUUCCAAUGAGAAACGACUGCUACUUAUAUAAAUUCAUUACAGAAGGACCCUACCAGACUAUAUUUGAAUACGGCAUACCCCUGAAUUCUGGAACUGUUAUUUCUUAACCCAGUUUGGAGGAUAAGAGCUUACCAACUAGUUAUAAAUAUGCUGAGGUGAUGUAUUGCAAAAUAGCCAACAUACAACAAUUAAAGGAUAAUUGCAGACUAUAUCCUGAUGAAGAUAUGGAUGACCCUCUGUCUGGUCAACAGGAGUUUAAAUAUGGACGGGACAGUUAUGUGGCAGCUCUUCCCUGGCUCAUUCACCUCUUGCCUUUAUUCGUGAAAGGAAGAAAGACUGGAGAGGGUCAAUGUGCAACUGAAGCUACUGAUUGUGCUGUGUGAUGAGCAUCAAUCCAUGCUUUGAGGGGGAUGAAUCAGCACCGCCCUGCCUGCUCUGCGUUGGGAACAGAAGUUGCAUCCAGAAUUUUUGCAUCAUUCUGGACCAAAAAGCCAUGAUGAAGACCACUGAUGCAGCCUUCCACUACAUCAUGAGUAAAACAACUACAGAACUAAAUACCAGGUUGGAACGUGUUUAAGAAAAAUGAAAUGUCUUUUGAAUUGAAAUGUCUGUUUUGUUAUGGAAAAAUCUUUAGUAUUGUGAAGGAUAAGCAUUUCUGCCUGCCAGUAAGGUAAUUGCAUGUAUUUUAAUGUUCAAGUUUUGAGUAGGGUGGCUAAUUUUUUUAACUCUCAUUUGAUUUAUUAAAGACCUUUUAAUAAGUGGUUUUCAUGUCACUGCGCUGUGGUAUAAGAUAACUUUCAUCAUUCCAUAUUGUAUUCUGUGUCUAAUUGUAGCUGAGGUAUUUAAAUAAGCAGUGUUAAAUGCAAAGUGUUGUGUGUAUCAAUGUAAAUAUUAAAUGUGAUUUACUUUAAUAAAAAGAGGUUUUGCAAUAUUUCUUGUCAUUUGUCUUUUAUAGAAACAACCCAUUAGCAACAAAAGUGGCUAUUAAUCAGUAUUUUAACACUUAACAUUGUUGAAUUCACAUUACACUGGUGUUGACCUUAAAUUAGGAGUGUUCAUUUUUAACACUGUAUUUCUGUGCCAACACCAGUGUAGUGUGGAAACAACAAUGAAUAGUGUUGAACAAAGUGUAAAAUUUAACAAUAUUGAGUGUUAAAUUAACAUAUAAUGGGUGUUGUUAAAUUAACACUACACUUUUGACUAAAUUAACACAGUGUAGUGUGGACACAUAUACACACUUUGCCGGUGUUAAAUUUGACACCGUGGGUGUUAUUUUAACACCAGUGAUU